UACGAAGGGGGCUAGCGUUGCUCGGAAUCACUGGGCGUAAAGCGCACGUAGGCGGAUCUUUAAGUCAGGGGUGAAAUCCCAAGGCUCAACCUUGGAACUGCCUUUGAUACUGGGGAUCUCGAGUCCGGAAGAGGUUGGUGGAACUGCGAGUGUAGAGGUGAAAUUCGUAGAUAUUCGGAAGAACACCAAUUGCGAAGGCAGCUGGCUACAGGGAUAUUGACACUGAGGCACGAAAGCGUGGGGAUCAAACAGGAGUUAG
rnacentral:rRNA from 1 species